rnacentral:rRNA from 1 species
UGANAGUUNGNGAUCGCAAGACCUUGCGCUAUUGGAGCGGCCGAUGUCCGAUUAGCUAGUUGGUGAGGUAAAGGCUCACCAAGGCAACGAUCGGUAGCUGGUCUGAGAGGACGACCAGCCACACUGGGACUGAGACACGGCCCAGACUCCUACGGGAGGCAGCAGUGGGGAAUUUUGGACAAUGGGCGAAAGCCUGAUCCAGCCAUGCCGCGUGCGGGAAGAAGGCCUUCGGGUUGUAAACCGCUUUUGGCAGGAACGAAACGGCGCGGGCUAAUACCUCGCGUUAAUGACGGUNNNNGCAGAAUAAGCACCGGCUAACUACGUGCCAGCAGCCGCGGUAAUACGUAGGGUGCGAGCGUUAAUCGGAAUUACUGGGCGUAAAGCGUGCGCAGGCGGCUUCGUAAGACAGAUGUGAAAUCCCCGGGCUUNNNNCUGGGAACUGCAUUUGUGACUGCGCGGCUCGAGUCUGUCAGAGGGGGGUGGAAUUCCACGUGUAGCAGUGAAAUGCGUAGAGAUGUGGAGGAACACCGAUGGCGAAGGCAGCCCCCUGGGACAAAACUGACGCUCAUGCACGAAAG